rnacentral:lncRNA from 1 species
CGGAGCUAGGACUGCACAUGCGCGGAAGGAGCCAAGAGGACGGUGUGCGGAGUUCCGCGCCGAGCCAGCUGGAGACAAGGCUGCGUUUUCCAUCAACCUUGCUGCCCGACCUGAGAUGACUGUUAGGGCUUUUCUGUAUUUUAAAAGCAACUGGAAGAUCCCGACCUCUGGUGCUCAACUCAAGAAACCUGAGUUGACUGACCAAUUGAUUGCAGAGCCGCAGAAGGAAAAUGGUGACAAGAGGGGAAGUGGUUGACACGGCAGAAUUGCAGUCAAGGCAGAGGGUGCCUAUGAGACCAGCACCUGAUACAAAUCUUGGACACUGAGUCUCUAUGAGCUUCCCUGGCAAACAUGUCAUCACACUGACUGCUGGAGGAAUUAGUGGAUCCUGUGUCUACACUGGAAGAGGACUCUUGGAA